rnacentral:rRNA from 1 species
AUUGAACGCUGGCGGUAUGCUUAACACAUGCAAGUCGAACGAUGAGAAAGAGCUUGCUCUUUCGAUUAGUGGCGGACGGGUGCGUAACGCGUAGGAAUCUACCUAUUAGUGGGGGACAACUUAGGGAAACUUAAGCUAAUACCGCAUACGCCCUACGGGGGAAAGAAGGGGAUCGCAAGACCUUUUGCUAAUAGAUGAUCCUGCGUAGUAUUAGCUAGUUGGUGGGGUAAAAGCCCACCAAGGCGACGAUCCUUAACUGGUUUGAGAGAAUGAUCAGUCCCACGUGAACGAAGACUCGGGCCAGACGCCUACUGAAGGCAGCAGUGGGGAAUAUUGGACGAUGGGCGAAAGCCUGAUCCAGCAAUACCGCGUGUGUGAAGAAGGCCUUAGGGUUGUAAAGCACUUUCAAUUGGAAGGAAAACCUCGAAGCUAAUACCUUCGAGUUUGACAUUACCAUUAGAAGAAGCACCGGCUAACUCCGUGCCAGCAGCCGCCGUAA